GUAUGACUGGGAAAGGAUAUUGGUGACUAGAAGCUGGAGUGAUGUGAUACGAUAAGAUGGUCUUUGUGAUGCUGAAAAUAAUGACUAAACUCAGGACGGUUGGAAUUUCCCCUCUCCACUCCACCCCCACACAAAUGGCUUUAAACGACCUUCAAGGACACUUGCGAAUUCUAAGACGCUAUAAAGACAAACAGCAGAUACAUUACUCCUCCAGUAAAGGAUAAAGAUGCCUAAGAAGCGA